GCCUUCUUAGCUCAGUGGUAGAGCACUUCCUUGGUAAGGAAGAGGUCGUCGGUUCAAAUCCGAUAGAAGGCUCUA
rnacentral:tRNA from 3 species